GUCGAACGCUGGCGGCGUGCUUAACACAUGCAAGUCGAACGAAGUGGCGAACGGGUGAGUAACGCGUAAUCAACCUGCCCUUCAGAGGGGGACAACAGUUGGAAACGACUGCUAAUACCGCAUACUGAAGGUGGGGAUUGCGUUUGAUUAGCUAGUUGGAGGGGUAACGGGCCACCAAGGCGAUGAUCAGUAGGCGGGCUGAGAGGGUGAACGGGCACAGUGGCACCUGGACACGGCCCUGACGCCUACGGGAGGCAGCAGUGGGGAAUCUUCCGCAAUGGACGAAAGUCUGACUGAGCAACGGCGCGUGAGUGAUGACGGCCUUCGGGUUGUAAAGCUCUGUUAAGCGGGACGCGGUACCGGAAUAGAAAGCCACGGCUAACUACGGGCCAGCAGCCGCGGUAAUUC
rnacentral:rRNA from 1 species